AUUGAACGCUGGCGGCAUGCCUUACACAUGCAAGUCGAACGGUAACAGGGCUUCGGAUGCCGACGAGUGGCGAACGGGUGAGUAAUACAUCGGAACGUGCCUAGUAGUGGGGGAUAACUACUCGAAAGAAUGGAGAAUACCGCAUGAAAUCUACUGAUGAAAGAUGGGGAUCGCAGGACCUUGCGCUACUAGAGGGGUGGACGGCGGAUUAGGUAGUUGGUGGGAUAAAAGCUUACCAAGCGGACGAUCUGUAGCUGGUCUGAGAGGACGAUCAGCCACACUGGGACUGAGACACGGCCCAGACUCCUACGGGAGGCAGCAGUGGGGAAUUUUGGACAAUGGGCGAAAGCCUGAUCCAGCAAUGCCGCGUGCAGGAUGAAGGCCUUCGGGUUGUAAACUGCUUUUGUACGGAACGAAAAGCCCUGGGUUAAUACCCUGGGGUCAUGACGGUACCGUAAGAAUAAGCACCGGCUAACUACGUGCCAGCCGCCGCGGUAA
rnacentral:rRNA from 1 species